rnacentral:pre_miRNA from 1 species
GAAACACCCUUAUGAAGCAGGACUUGCUUCAGUGGGGCUUUGGUGCUCACUGAGUCUGCCACUUCAAUGUGAUGCU